rnacentral:rRNA from 1 species
UACAGAGGGGGCAAGCGUUGUUCGGAAUUACUGGGCGUAAAGGGCGCGUAGGCGGCCUGCUAAGUCGAACGUGAAAUCCCCGGGCUCAACCCGGGAACUGCGUCCGAUACUGGCAGGCUUGAAUUCGGGAGAGGGAUGUGGAAUUCCAGGUGUAGCGGUGAAAUGCGUAGAUAUCUGGAGGAACACCGGUGGCGAAGGCGGCAUCCUGGACCGAUAUUGACGCUGAUGCGCGAAAGCCAGGGGAGCAAACGGG